rnacentral:rRNA from 1 species
AUACGAAAGGUGCAAGCGUUGUUCGGAUUUACUGGGCGUAAAGAGAGUGUAGGUUGUUUAUUAAGUCGGAUGUGAAAUCCCGGGGCUCAACCUCGGAACUGCAUUCGAUACUGGUAGACUAGAGUUCGGGAGGGGUAAGCGGAAUUCCGUGUGUAGCAGUGAAAUGCGUAGAUAUACGGAGGAACACCUGAGGCGAAGGCGGCUUACUGGACCGAUACUGACACUGAGACUCGAAAGCGUGGGGAGCAAACAGGAGUAGAAACCCGAGUAGUCC